rfam:Lupinus angustifolius cultivar Tanjil contig_28080, whole genome shotgun sequence.
AUUAAGGUUCUUUUUAGAACCAUGCAACACAUUUAACUACAUGAAU